AGCGAACGCUGGCGGCAGGCCUAACACAUGCAAGUCGAACGAACUCUUCGGAGUUAGUGGCGGACGGGUGAGUAACACGUGGGAACGUGCCUUUAGGUUCGGAAUAACUCAGGGAAACUUGUGCUAAUACCGAAUGUGCCCUUCGGGGGAAAGAUUUAUCGCCUUUAGAGCGGCCCGCGUCUGAUUAGCUAGUAGGUGAGGUAGAGGCUCACCAAGGCGACGAUCAGUAGCUGGUCUGAGAGGAUGAUCAGCCACAUUGGGACUGAGACACGGCCCAAACUCCUACGGGAGGCAGCAGUGGGGAGUCUUGCGCAAUGGGCGAAAGCCUGACGCAGCCAUGCCGCGUGAAUGAUGAAGGUCUUAGGAUUGUAAAAUUCUUUCACCGGGGACGAUAAUGACGGUACCCGGAGAAGAAGCCCCGGCUAACUUCGUGCCAGCAGCAGCCGCGG
rnacentral:rRNA from 1 species